CUUCUGCAAAUUUUCUUAUAACAACACAUACAAAAGGGCUGUUAAUUAUACCUUUGCAAAACUUAAUGUAACUUUAACAUGUGUUUGUUAAAAAGCAGGUAAAGAAGCAAACUCCUUCUCUGUGAUCCACUGACUCACAGAGGCUGCUUUGCUAACAGGAGCUUUGCUGCAAAAGCCUGUUGUUUCGUAUUGCGCUUACUAAAA